rnacentral:lncRNA from 1 species
UUACGAACAUUAAUCGAACACCUGGAGAGCACUGCAAACGGGCCAAGUCGCAAAUUCCAUCCAAGAGAGCUAAGAUAAACAGGGACCCGUGACCACGCACCGGGUGAGGUGGGAGGGAAGAAGAAGCGGGAGAUGAUGAAAGGGAGGCCGCCGUCGAUCAGUUGUCCCCCUCGGGCUCGAACUCCGGGUCGCCGUCGGGGUGCAUCUCCCUCCACUGGUCCUCGGGCCAGUACUCCUUGACGUGGCCCCACUUCUUGCGGAACUUCUCGAUCUGGCUGUCCAUCACCACCAGCGCCGAGGUGUCGCCGACGUAGUAGGGGUGGUUCCCGGACCACACGUCCACCGUGUACUCCGGCUUGGUGCCCCCCGUCACCAGCACCAGCUCGCCGUUGCAGUACACCUUCGCGUCCUCGUAGAUCUCCGGGUGCAGCCCCUUCUUGCGCAUCGAGCAGCGCAUCCCCUGCAUCGCGCCGCCCGGAGUUUGGUUUUGCUCGCAGACUUAGUGGCGGCGCCCAUGGUAAUUUCAUUCGUGCAGGAAUUGCGAGAGGGAGGGUCGGCGCCUACGCGCGCGCGCGCACGUACCUGGGAGGGGACGACGGAGCGGAGAGUGCGGGCGGUGGUCCUCGCGGCGGCAGGGGUGGGGAGGAAGGAGGUGGAGAGGGAGAGCGUCAUGGCGGAUGGCCUUGCC